UUUAUGAUGUUUUAGGAUCCAAUUAGCUUGAGGAAAACGUUCACUCUUACUUAUGUAAAGCUUGGGUAAGGUUAUGAAUAAAUAAUUGGAGCUUGGAAUUGUGGAUAUUGGAACUUGGAGGAAGCUGAGCCUAGUGUUUAUUGAAUUAUGGAAGGGCUGUGUUUAUUAUAAUUAAAGUGCCUUGAUCGUUACGUAGGAAUCGGCCAAGAUGCAGGUCGAGAG